GCAGCGUGAGUGUCAACAGGAAGAGCUCCUGGUCAAAGCCGAGGGCCCCCACCCUCUGCAGGAACUGGCACACCAGUUGUUGCCAGGGUAGCCUCUCCUUGCUGUAGAGAUGUCGCU